ACAGAGGGUGCAAACGUUGUUCGGAUUUACUGGGCGUAAAGCGCGUGUAGGCGGCUUUGCAAGUCGGAUGUGAAAUCCCACGGCUCAACCGUGGAAGUGCAUCCGAAACUGCAUCGCUGGAGUCUCGGAGAGGAAGGUGGAAUGCUUGGUGUAGAGGUGAAAUUCGUAGAUAUCAAGCAGAACACCUGCGGCGAAGGCGGCCUUCUGGACGAUGACUGACGCUGAGACGCGAAAGCGUGGGGAGCAAACAGGA
rnacentral:rRNA from 1 species